UUCUACCGUCCAAGAAGAAUAGCAUCCGGAGGCAAGAAUGAAAGGCAUGAGCGCCAAAUUGAAGCCUUGAGAACUGCAAUCGUCAAUCGUCAAAUACCAAUCCAUGCCUUUGAAAAUCGUGCGAGUUGUGUGUGGAGAUUAGAGGAGUCGACACUCAAAGAUCGAGGAAAUAGGAGUAGAAACACUCUAAAUCGACUGAUUUCUGAGUUCGAUUUCUCUCUAAACCUACUGCUAAUCGACUUUUUUCAACCUUUCCUUUGAUUUCUAUUUUUGAGUUCGAUUUAAAUAACCUCUCAUUGUUAAACCGAUAAGACUGAGUUCGAUUUUUUUUUCAAUCUAAAGCAAGAGACAACUAACGAAAGCAUCAUCUUCAACUGAUUUGGCUUUUUAGGAGUUCGGAUGUUGGAUAUUUUAUGGUUUUCAACCUGAAGUAGAGACGAGGAAAGAAAGGACUGAUUUUUGAUUUCUCUUUAACUGAUUUGGGAGUUGGAGCUCUGAUUUGUCUCCUAUUUGAACUCGAAAUCUGUUUGCUUUGUAUCUGAUAUUUGUUGUUUGAAGUUGGCUUCAGAAGGCAUAUUGUCUAUUGAAGUUAUGAUUUCUGUUUAUUUAGAAAUUUGGUUAGUGGCUACUGGUUCUUGUUCUUAUUUCUAGAAAGAUAUCAUGACAUCUUGGAAGUGGAAACGAGAAGAAUGAAUAUGUUCCCUAAUCUGUUGGUUACUUAUAUAAUAUUUUGGAUGAUGUCAGUAAUGUUUGCUUCUGUGAAAAAAGUUCUUCAAAAUUGAAGCUUUUAAAAUAAGAUAUAUUUGCACUUCAAAAAAUGCACAAAAACAUAUGGUUGUGGUGAUUUUUGUAGUUUUUGUUUGAAUUAUUUGCUUGAUUGUAAAAUU